UCAAGAGUGAACCACCUGAUCCCUUCCCGAACUCAGAAGUGAAACCUCUUAGCGCUGAUGGUAGUGUGGGGUCUCCCAUGUGAGAGUAAGUCAUCGCCAGCU
rnacentral:rRNA from 1 species